UUGGCAGGAACUUUCAGCCGAGCAUUUUGGAGGUGGCAACACAAAUAUUGCCAGCCAAAACGUGCUGGCAUUGCUCCAUUUUUCCAAGUUAUUGCAGCGUCAAUGGUUUUCUUUUACACUAUUAACUAUGGAAAGAUUAGUAAGUAUUUUAAUUGAAUUUUCACUUCAA
rfam:Clunio marinus genome assembly, contig: CLTMA_superscaffold_47C